UACAUUUUAUUACUCUAAUAAGCUAAUAAGCCAUUUGUUGUAAGUAAUCAGAAAGGGGUGAAUAACCCUAAUGCUUUUUCUAAUGGAGCACCUGCAAAGUCAAACUUAGAAAUACUCAUGUUGGUAUCAUAUUUCACUACUACAAAAAUCGGAAUAAGAAACAUUGGAUAUAGAACGGUCAAAUGUGUUAAGCGUUUCGCAAGAUUAUAUAGAGCGCUUAUCUAUGAUGACAAUUUCAUGGUGGAAAGAAUAUAAAGCGGUAACCAUUUCAUAUGUUUUUACCCCAAUAAAAAAAUAGUUAAAGCUAAUAUGUAGAUGGAACGAAUUAAUACAGAGUAGUAUACAAAGCGGUGGUGCACUGGUGCUAGACCGCGUACUAUAUUCCCAUUUAAAAAAAAAGAAAAAAAGAAACUGACUCUUACGCGGCAUCCUAAAUUCAUCCAAACUCAAAAUAUUGUGUUUGGCGCAAAACCCAAAAGUUCAAAACCUAACUACGGAGUAUUCUUUUCUACAUCCCCAAAGCCAACUCUCUCUCUCUCCUCUCGUUUUCUCCGUCUUCCUCCAUUGGACUAUUGGAGCUCUUGAAUUCUCCUUCUUCCUCCGUUGGAGCUCCCAAUUACAAGGUUAAUUCGUUUAUUUCUGUAAAUUUUUUGUUCUAUUUUGCAAACAAUAGCUAUUUGUGCCAUUUUUUUACCCGGAAAUCCUCUUCUUCUCUUGUUGAUUUUUCCUUUUUUCAUUUGUAAAUCACGAACUACUCACAAAUUACGUCCACCGCUGCAAUCUCCCGCAAACCCCAAACUGCGACCACCGGUCUCAAGGUUGUACGGCCGCCGCACGAGAUGCUCCCCCUCCGAAUUUCGAGCUUUAUAAUAUAGCAGGUUGGUAGAUCGAAAUCAUGUGGCUUGAGAUGAUUGAGAGAGUUGCAUGCUUUCGUACUUGAAACUAUUUUAUUUAUACUUUAAUUAUGUUUGAAUUCGUUGAACUUCUAAUACUUUGGUUUUUGGGCCGUUAUGGUUCCAAUUUGUAGGAGGCCUCGAUAAUUUAAUUAUUUAUGUUUUGAAAAGUUAGUUGACAUUAAA